ACAGCCUGAUACAGGGCUUGAUCCCAGGAUCCUGGGAUCAGGACCUGAGCAGAAAUCAAGAGCUGGCCACUCACCUGUCUGAGCCACCCAGGCACCCCUAGGGCUGAAGCCUUAUAUCUGCUUCCAGAGGAAGGGCCUCCUCCCAGCCAGCUUGUCACCUCUGCUCUUAGAGUAGCCCCAAGGAGCAAGGGUUUGUCAGUCAAGUGACAUCAGAUCAGUUUUGCAAGUGGGCCAGGCGGUGGCUGGGGGUGAGGGUGUUUUAUUUCUGGAACUCUUGGAGGAGCCACCCGAAGCCGAUACAGGAGAGGCAAGUGUCCUACACAAGGUCAUCCCCCUAGGGUGGUGCUGAGGGACUCCAGGGGCCUACCGACAGGGUCCCGUGGAAGGGGGACAGCCGAGUCCCCUGGUCUUUGGGCUUUCACAGAUGAGUAAAGUCCACUUCUCUCAAUCUUAGGACCACUUGAGGUGGCAAAACUUUUAUUUUGCCAGUUGAGGUUAUUAGAACUAGGGCCAAAAAUAGACCACCACUAUCAUAUCAUAAACGGAAGGACAGUUGAGAAAAGGGAAGUGACACGGUCUCAGUAUUUUCCAAGAAAAGACACUUAGUGGCUUUAAUAGGACAUGGUUUGCCUUGGACCAGAGCAAGCCCAAGAGGGCGGAGAGUGGGGAGACAGUGUUCUGGGGCCCAGGGGUUGGGAACAGCUGGUGGGGUGAGUGUAGCUCUAGGGAAGGGCCACCAGCCCCGCUCCUUCUGCCCUGGGUGGCAGGACCUUGUGUGGAGCGGUUGGAGCAGACUUGAAGUUUCCUGGUAUCGGGGUUCACUGGCCAGUGCUGUUUCCAGCUCCCACCACGGUGCCCGGCACAGAGUGGGACUCAGUAAAUCUGCGGUGAAUGAACCACAGGAGGUAGUGAGUUUUCUGGUGCUGGAAGUCUUCGAGCAAAGAGCUGCCGAAGAUGCCACACAGGCAUCAGGGACCCACUGACUUCUGUUGAGUCUAUGGCCAGCCACCUGGGGAAUGAGAGCACUUCUGAGGUACGUGUACAGCUGGAAGCCCCCGAACUUCAUACUCACAGGUACUGGCCUGUCCCUCCCUGAGGCCUCCAGGGAGCUACCGACUAGUUUCCUUGUCACUGCUAAACCCCUGCCUUAGCACCACCUGCAUUGCCACCUACAUCUGUGGCUGACAAGUGGCUUUGGCCACUGUCUCCUGCCCCCUAGCUCCGUUCACCACAUCCAACCACAGGACCUUGGGACACACGGGGACUUUGGUUUCAGC
rnacentral:lncRNA from 12 species